AUUCCCUGAUCGGAAGAUCCAUUCAAUUUGUGUUCCGUGAUUUUAGUCAUCAUAAGAAUCACAUCAGUUACGGUGGUGGUUUUAACUUCAGCCAUGAGGACAACCAACCCAAAAACGAUAGCAACAAAAGAAACACAGAAUCAGAAAACAGUACCCGGCGUGAACAGUACCGAUGAACAGUACCCGUGAACAGUGCCGAUGAACAGUACCAAAUAAAACACCUCCACCCAACUACCGAACGGCAAACAAACCUCAAAUCUGACAAGGAGUCGGUGUGGUGACUCCAGCGAUGGUGAGAUCCAAAUGUUACCCUUUAUAGAUAAUCCAAAUGAACGGAGCCCUAAGUCUCCAAAAAAAAAUUUUAAAACUUUACGAGAG
rnacentral:lncRNA from 1 species